GAUGAACGCUGGCGGCAUGCCUAAUACAUGCAAGUCGUGCGGAAACACUUCGGGUGUCGAGCGGCGGACGGGUGAGUAACACGUUAGUAUCUACCCCAAACUGAGGGAUAAGCCCGAGAAAUCGGGUCUAAUACCGCAUAUGGUCUUUGGAUUAAAGCCUUCGGGCGGUUUGGGAGGAGCUUGCGUCUGAUUAGCUAGUUGGUAAGGUAAUGGCUUACCAAGGCUACGAUCAGUAGCUGGUCUGAGAGGAUGAUCUGUCACACUGGAACUGGGACACGGUCCAGACUCCUACGGGAGGCAGCAGUAGGGAAUUUUCCACAAUGGGCGAAAGCCUGAUGGAGCAAUGCCGCGUGCAGGAUGAAUGCAUUCGGGUUGUAAACUGCUUUUAUGAGGGAAGAUUAUGACGGUACCUCAUGAAUAAGCCUCGGCUAACUCCGUGCCAGCAGCCGCCGUAA
rnacentral:rRNA from 1 species